AGGUGUUAUCAGAAGCAGAUUCUGCUUGGCUGCAGAGCCUCCAAUUUACCUACAGAAGAACAGUAUCAUUGGAAAAGUGAGCACUGCAGGAAAUGCUGCCUGGCAGGCCUUGCAGAGAACUUAGGACAAAAAAAAAAAAAAGGACCCAAUAAGUUGUCUGCCACAUGCAAGGGUGAGCUCCUGUUUCUUGCACGUACUAAAGAGUUGUCUGUGCUGGUAAUGGGAAAAACUUUACACCCAUUUAUCACCCUUGGCUUAGGUAUCACAUUUAACAAAAAUGUGUUUUCUUCAAUUUAUUCUGGUGACAUGUGGGCCGCGGCAAUUUUGAUCUAACAAACAUAUUUUCAAUAUUGCACAUAACCAUGUUUACAGCUAAUUUUUAAAUGCCCCUCGAUGCUUAGAAUGCACUGAGAGAAGCUGUUGCCAUAUGCAUGUGGAGGCUCUACAUACUCACGUGGCAGACUGAGUGAAGCGGUCACUGUUUGUUUUUUGUUAAUAUUUUCUAAAGUCUAAAGGCUGUGGUCGUGAGCAGGCAUGGACACACUCACUAUCCAACAUUUUUGGCUCCAAAUAUUUUCCAAGUUUUCUCUCUUCUUGAGAGACUGUUCUUGUCUUGCUCAGCCCAGGAGUCACUAAUGUACUCACAGCCACACUACAGUUCCUGCCUGGCAACAGCUCAGCUCUCAGGAAUCUACGUGGGAGAAGUAGAGGAGAAUAAAUUGCCAUCAAGCUUCUCAAAAUAACAAAACAAUGUAUGUGAAUUCUACUGUUUCAGCUGUUAAGUGCUAACAAACAGACUUCAGUGCUGUCAGGGUUCCUCCUCUUUAUCUGAGAUAAAGAAAUCAAAGGAGGAAUUUGCUGGCCAGGUCACUAACAAGUUUGCAAACCCAAGCUGCUUAGGAGGAAGUGAAACAAACAGCCAAAUGAAGUGCACCACAGGCAACACACUGUGGGAUUUUGAGAACUAGGAUAACCAUAAUACAACUGUCAAGUGCUAAACAUCUUCAAUCCACCAACAGGAGCCAGAUAUUCAUCAUUACAAUCAGAAAGGCUUUAUUGCUAUUCCUAACAUGUAUGUGUCCUCCUGCCCAGCUACAAAAUCAGCUGAGUUUGCAAUUAAACUGGUUUUGGUUGACUGUAUAGAACAGAGAUCUAUUGGUCAUGGGGAUCUGGGUGUCUGCCCAUGGAGAAUUUGUUAUGAAACAAAUUAUUAGAUCAGAGGAGCCAAAUCCCAAUCUUGCUGAAAAACAGGUGGACUGCAAGUAGGUAAACACAGGCACAAUUCCAGUUCUGAUGCUGUACUCUUCUGGAGUAGGAAUACAGUACUUCUUACCUGAAUUAUAUUCUGCUUGACUUCAGAAUUCACGUUCUUUAUAUCAGCCCUCAGGAAAGCAAGCUGAACUUCAGCUGGCUGAGAUCUCCAGCUCCUCUUGUUGUCAGGAUACCCUCUGUUGCUCAGACUACAGGCAGAGCUGCAGUGUCAGAAGAACUGAAUUCUGCUUUCUUCAGUAGUUUUGCAAGGUUGAGAACAUUGUUUGUUUAGCAGAGCCUGAUUUUCUGAGGUGCUCUCUUUUAUUAUGCGCCUCUGUUUAUUUGGAAUGAAAGUGUCUCAUGUUUGUUUCUACUAAUUGUGACUGACUUUCUGUUUUAGCUCAGCUGUGCUUAGUCAAGGUAGAAAAACCCAAACAUCCACAAAUAAAAGGCAAUGUUGUAUCACA